AGAGUUUGAUCCUGGCUCAGGACGAACGCUGGCGGCGUGCUUAACACAUGCAAGUCGAACGGGCCUGCCUGGCUUUGGUUGGGUGGGUGAGUGGCGAACGGGUGAGUAACACGUGAGUAACCUGCCCUCUUCUCUUGGAUAACUGCUUGAAAGGGCGGCUAAUACGGGAUGUUCUGGCUGCCUCGCAUGGGGUGGUUUGGAAAGAUUCGGCCUGGUUUUGGUUGUUUUGGUGGGGGAUGGGCUCGCGGCUUAUCAGCUUGUUGGUGGGGUGAUGGCCUACCAAGGCGGUGACGGGUAGCCGGCCUGAGAGGGUGGACGGUCACACUGGGACUGAGACACGGCCCAGACUCCUACGGGAGGCAGCAGUGGGGAAUAUUGCACAAUGGGCGCAAGCCUGAUGCAGCGACGCCGCGUGAGGGAUGGAGGCCUUCGGGUUGUGAACCUCUUUCGCCAGUGAAGCAGGCCUGCCUCGUUUGUGGGUGGGUUGACGGUAGCUGGAUAAGAAGCGCCGGCUAACUACGUGCCAGCAGCCGCGGUAAUACGUAGGGCGCGAGCGUUGUCCGGAAUUAUUGGGCGUAAAGAGCUCGUAGGCGGCUGGUCGCGUCUGUCGUGAAAUCCUCUGGCUUAACUGGGGGCUUGCGGUGGGUACGGGCCGGCUUGAGUGCGGUAGGGGAGGCUGGAACUCCUGGUGUAGCGGUGGAAUGCGCAGAUAUCAGGAAGAACACCGGUGGCGAAGGCGGGUCUCUGGGCCGUUACUGACGCUGAGGAGCGAAAGCGUGGGGAGCGAACAGGAUUAGAUACCCUGGUAGUCCACGC
rnacentral:rRNA from 1 species